rnacentral:rRNA from 1 species
UACGUAGGGGGCAAGCGUUGUCCGGAUUUACUGGGCGUAAAGAGCGCGCAGGCGGUCGUUCAAGUCGCGUGUGAAAGCCCCCGGCUCAACUGGGGAGGGUCCCGCGAUACUGAUCGACUCGAAGGCAGGAGAGGGUAGUGGAAUUCCCGGUGUAGUGGUGAAAUGCGUAGAUAUCGGGAGGAACACCAGCGGCGAAGGCGACUACCUGGCCUGUUUCUUGACGCUGAGGCGCGAAAGCUAGGGGAGCAAACGGG